AGCGAACGCUGGCGGCAGGCCUAACACAUGCAAGUCGAACGAGGUCUUCGGACUUAGUGGCGGACGGGUGAGUAACACGUGGGAACGUACCUUUUGGUUCGGAACAACUCAGGGAAACUUGAGCUAAUACCGGAUGAGCCCUUAGGGGGAAAGAUUUAUCGCCGAAAGAGCGGCCCGCGUUAGAUUAGCUAGUUGGUGAGGUAAAGGCUCACCAAGGCUACGAUCUAUAGCUGGUCUGAGAGGAUGAUCAGCCACACUGGGACUGAGACACGGCCCAGACUCCUACGGGAGGCAGCAGUGGGGAAUCUUGCGCAAUGGGCGAAAGCCUGACGCAGCCAUGCCGCGUGAAUGAUGAAGGUCUUAGGAUUGUAAAAUUCUUUUACCAGGGACGAUAAUGACGGUACCUGGAGGAAAAGCCCCGGCUAACUUCGUGCCAGCCGCCGCAGUAACAC
rnacentral:rRNA from 1 species